UACGGAGGGUGCAAGCGUUGCUCGGAAUUAUUGGGCGUAAAGGGUAGGUAGGUGGUCUCAUUUGUCUGUGGUGAAAGCCUUGGGCUUAACUCAAGAAGUGCCUCAGAAACGGUGAGACUAGAGUUCUGGAGAGGGUCGUGGAAUUCCCGGUGUAGCGGUGAAAUGCGUAGAGAUCGGGAGGAACACCAGAGGCGAAGGCGGCGACCUGGACAGAUACUGACACUCAACUACGAAAGCGUGGGGAGCAAACAGGG
rnacentral:rRNA from 1 species